CACAGGAAAAUGCUGGGCUUCGGGUUCCUCUCAGCACCCACCUUAAUGGCUGGGUGUCUGGGGCCCAAAGUAGGGCUACCAUUCCUCCUUCAGCACCUUGUCACCUGAGAGAUGCUUUUCCUCUUUUGCCACAUACCCACAGGCAUAACUCUAUUUUUUGUGAGACAAUAAACAUCCUUGUCCUAAAUCCUGGUGGAACCAUUGGAGAGCAUGUCGUAUCAUGGGAUGUGAUACAUUCUUUGCUCUUGAGGUUUCUACCUGGCCAACUCUGUCAAUCUGCCCUCAGUACAUUUGGUACUUACAGCCUCAGGGAGUGGGUGACUCAGCAGAAACUGAGCAAAGGCGUGUCUGCUCUUGGCUUUGGAGUUUCAACAUCUUCGGCCUCAGGGGGAGGCAUAAAUAAUAGAUGUGGGAGAAAGGUUGGGAAGAAGGAAGAUUCUGGACCAGGCGAUGGAAAGGAUUCCCCUGGUUCCUUCUCCAGAGGGAGAAGGGAGAGAGAUGGAGUUUUGAAAGUCCCUGGGAGCAGGAAGACUACUCAGGCGCGCCUACUUCAGGAAGUUGUGUCUUCACUCCAAUUUAUAUGGACUUUCUUUUACCGGAUCACAGUGGACUCAACCUACAUAGAUAAGCCUCCCCAGUGGGACAUGUACAAUAAAGUUUACAAUAUACAUUUGAUGAAGUAGCUUAAUACAUGUUUAUAUGAGCAUUUUUAAAAAUUAAAGCAUUGUUGAUUUACAAUGUUGUGACAAUAUCUGCUGUACAGCAGUGACCCAGUCAUACAUAUAUGUACAUUCUCUUUCUUGUAUUCUCUUCCAUCAUGGUCUAUCCCAAGAGAUUGGAUAUAGUUCCCUGUGCUGUACAGCAGGACCUCCUCACUUAUCCCUUCUAAAUGCAAUAGUUUUCAUCUACUAACCCCAAACUCCCAGUCCCUCCCAAUCCCCCUCCCUCACCCUUGGCAACCACAGGUCUGUUCUCUAUGAGCAUAUAUUUGUAUUUUAUUCCAUUGUCAUAGUGAUUCUCAAUUGAGGGAGCGACUUUGCCCCCCACCUUCCCUGGGGGACCUUUGUCUGGAAACAUUUUUGUUGUCACAGUUUGGAGGGGGGAGCUGCUAGUGGGUAGAGGCCAGGGAUGCUGCUAAACAUCCGUCAGGGCACAGAACGGCCCCCAAUGUCAGUGCUGAGGCUGAGAAACCCCGACUAGCAGUCAUAAUUCAUUUUGCUAUUUUCAAGGGAUAAACUAGAUCUUCAAGCCUGGCAGCCCAGUAUGUGAAACUCUACCCUUAGGAAAUUAAGUUUUGAGAGAUGCCAACUGAAAUUUGUGACCUUGAUGUAAGAACAAACUGGGCCCCAAAUCAGGGGUCCCUCGAACCACAGGUAAGCCUCACCACACCCCCAAGGAGUUUGAAUUUCUACCCCCAUUUUGCCGAUGAGGAAACUGGGACUCAGGGAAGAGAAGUCAUUAGGGAAGGACAUCCUGAAGGGAGGGUUCCCCUGAAGAUGCUGCCACAGAGUUAGGCACAAGUAUGG
rnacentral:lncRNA from 1 species